CAAAGAUGGAACAAUGUGGUUUCUAUGGGAAGGUAUAACUAAAUGAGCUUUAAUGCCAUUUUUGUUUGUUUGUUUAUUUGUUUAUUAACUUGUUCAUUAUUUCCAGUUGUAGAUACUCCUGGGUGUCUGAUCAAUCAUCUCCCCAGACGUGCAAAUGUUACCCCUACCAGGUUUUUGUUAGAGAAAACAUUUUUACUCUGCUGUAGAAGUAAUAAUUACCUGAUCUUAAGUGCAGAAAACAAAGAAAAAGAUGUUGUUUCUGGUUGUUCAUCAAGAAAAUUAAAUGCUGAGGAACGGGAUGUGGGAGAGAAGAGAUGCACAUUGCUACCCAAGAGCAACAGGUACAAUGACAAGUCCAUCAUUAUCAAUAUCUGGAAGUGAUACUGCUGCAUUUAGUACAUGGGGAAAUCACCUACGCUGUCCCUUCUUUCAACUUAAUAUCAUUUUUCACCAUAAUGGUACUGGAUAGUUUUACUUUCUUCAAUCAAUAUGUGCACACAAAUGGUACUGAACUGCCAGUGUAGAUAAUUAUGGUAAAUCUUUUCUCCAGAUAAUUCAAAGGUUAUGGGCAUUCCCUUCCCCUUAUCAUUAAAACUGAAAACAGAUC
rnacentral:lncRNA from 1 species